rnacentral:lncRNA from 1 species
GACUUUGCAGGAGCUAAUGAUGGGAACCCAAAGAUCAGUGCUAAAUUUAUUGCACCAUGUUAUUCUAUGAACAAGUAAGCCAAUGGAUUUUGGCCUUUUGCUUCGGAGCUUCUCAAUUUUGCGUCUAUCAAUUGCACCACUUUCCUCAUCAUGACUCAAUUUGCUUUUCUUCCGCAAGGAUUCGGAGUCACCAAUUGUAGGGCGAGUGAAUUGUUGGAUUUUGAUGAUUAUGUGGAAUACAAUCAUGGUUAAUAAGAACUGUGGGUGUAAUGAUAGAAGUGCAUAGGAAGAGAAUGGUUAUUGUGACAAGAAACCCAACAAUUCUGAUGCAAAGCUGAAUCAACUACUGGAUUAAGUCUUAGAGUUGACGUUGUUGCAGCUGGUUGAUAAAGUAUUAUGGCUCUCAAAAGUGAUGGUUCAGCUAAAUUUUAGUAUCUCUAAAUCUAUCAAAACAAUCACUAAUUCAUUGUUUUUCACUUACUUGAUUAGGAUAUAUAUGGAUGAGUACCUUAAGGUUUAUAAAAUUAUAGAGAGAUAGAGUUUAGUUUAGAGAGUAUUGUUAAACGAUUUUAUAUAAUUGGGUUGGACCUUUGUAAUGGUGUAUGAGAGCUUUUUGUUUAUUUGAUUUGUACUCUUUUGGUAUAUGAUAAUUUCUCGUUUUGCAUUGCAGCUUAUGACUAUAUACAGGGUUAGCACCUUCUAAGUGUAUAUUAUAUAAGCAGAGUUAGUUUAUGUUUAGGAUGUUGAAUAAAGGCC